rnacentral:rRNA from 1 species
CAGCAGCCGCGGGAAUACGAAGGGGGCUAGCGUUGUUCGGAUUUACCGGGCGUAAAGGGCGCGUAGGCGGACUGAUAAGUCAGGGGUGAAAUCCCAAGGCUCAACCUUGGAACUGCCUUUGAUACUGUUUGUCUUGAGUUCGAGAGAGGUAAGUGGAACUGCGAGUGUAGAGGUGAAAUUCGUAGAUAUUCGCAAGAACACCAGUGGCGAAGGCGGCUUACUGGCUCGAAACUGACGCUGAGGCGCGAAAGCGUGGGGAGCAAACAGGAUUAGAUACCCCCGUAGUCCCUGUCUCUUAUAC